UGAGGAAUAUUGCGCAAUGGCCGAAAGGCUGACGCAGCGACGCCGCGUGAAGGAUGAAGUUCGUUAGAAUGUAAACUUCUUUUGUAGGGGAUGAAUGUGCCGUUUUGCGGCAUUGACCGUACCCUGCGAAUAAGGAUCGGCUAACUACGUGCCAGCAGCCGCGGUAAUACGUAGGAUCCGAGCGUUGUCCGGAUUUACUGGGUGUAAAGGGCGUGUAGGUGGGUCUCUAAGUCGGUGGUGAAAGCCCGCAGCUCAACUGCGGAAUUGUCCAUUGAUACUGGAGGUCUUGAGUACGGCAGAGGGAAAUAGAAUUCAUGGUGUAGCGGUGAAAUGUGUAGAUAUCAUGAAGAAUACCGGUAGCGAAGGCGGUUUCCUGGUCCGUAACUGACACUGAGGCGCGAAAGCGUGGGGAGCAAACAGGAUUAGAUACCCUAGUAGUCCCUGAGCGGGCUGGCAAGGCGCAU
rnacentral:rRNA from 1 species